rfam:Peptococcaceae bacterium BRH_c4a BRHa_1002702, whole genome shotgun sequence.
UAUAUGGAGAGUUUGAUCCUGGCUCAGGACGAACGCUGGCGGCGUGCUUAACACAUGCAAGUCGAACGGUUCCCGGAGUUCGGGGUUGGAUGUUUGGAGUUCGAAAAGAAGGAAAUGCAAAGGCAAAUCCAACAAGAAUCGAACGUCGAACGUCGAACCUCGAACUUCGAGAAUAGUGGCGGACGGGUGAGUAACGCGUGGAUAACCUGCCCAAGAGAUCGGGAUAACGCCGGGAAACUGGUGCUAAUACCGGAUACGUUCCUGAGGUUGCAUAAUUUCGGGAAGAAAGGAGAAAUCCGCUCAUGGAUGGAUCCGCGUCCCAUUAGCUAGUUGGUGGGGUAAAGGCCUACCAAGGCGACGAUGGGUAGCCGGCCUGAGAGGGUGGCCGGCCACACUGGGACUGAGACACGGCCCAGACUCCUACGGGAGGCAGCAGUGGGGAAUCUUCCGCAAUGGGCGAAAGCCUGACGGAGCAACGCCGCGUGAGUGACGAAGGCCCUUGGGUCGUAAAACUCUGUCUUCAGGGAAGAAAAAAAUGACGGUACCUGAGGAGGAAGCCCCGGCUAACUACGUGCCAGCAGCCGCGGUAAUACGUAGGGGGCGAGCGUUGUCCGGAAUUACUGGGCGUAAAGGGCG